rnacentral:rRNA from 1 species
UACGUAGGGGGCUAGCGUUGUCCGGAAUCAUUGGGCGUAAAGCGCGCGUAGGCGGCCCGGUAAGUCCGCUGUGAAAGUCAAAGGCUCAACCUUUGAAUGUCAGCGGAUACUGCCGGGCUAGAGUCCGGAAGAGGCGAGUGGAACUCCUGGUGUAGCGGUGGAAUGCGCAGAUAUCAGGAAGAACACCAACGGCGAAGGCAGCUCGCUGGGACGGAACUGACGCUAAGGCGCGAAAGCGAGGGGAGCGAACGGG